GAUUAACAAUUUAGUCUUUAAUGGUACACUUUGUGUUAAAUGAUUAUGAAAUAUUCCAUAUCUAACUUUAUUGGGGGUGAUAAAAUGUGCAUCCGAUCGUGUCACCUCAAGUUGAUAUUAAUUUUCUCAGAAAAUGUGUAAAAAAUGAUAAAUAAUAGAUCAACAUACAGGUUGAAAUAGUUCCGAUACCGAACGUGUCAAAGCUACGUGAAAAUGAACGUGUAAAUUACACUGCGGAGGAAUACCAAACUCAGACAACAACAAAGCUGAUAUAGCGAGAGACAAGAAAAAGAUGUCUGCCUGCUUGUCCGUGUUAUCUUCGAAGUAGCAAUGAUAACAUGUGUAGUUGCCUUCUGAUGUCUAGCAGCACCUGCCUUUGAGAGCCAGUGGAAUUUUUCCACAGGAUAUAUUUUAUGUGAAUUAUGUUGUAUAUCUGCUGGUGGACAUCGAUUUCGGAGCGGUGACUAGACAGAAAAUAAGGAAUACAUCAAAAUGCAGAAUAGCAUGCCGGGAAAAAUUACAUCCGACAAGGAGCUGAGUGACCUACUUGACUUCAGUGCGAUGUUUUCCCCACCAACUGGUGGUGCAGGCCCCAAAAAUGGUAAUGUAGCUGGUUCUGAUCAUCAUUCAGCAUCCAACUACAAGCAAGGGAGCAAGGAAAUUACAGGAGCAUGUUUCAAGUGCAAGCUUUACCUAUUCCAUCAAGUCUGGAUUCCCAAUAAAGCCAGUGCUUUAUGUUGGAGAGUAGCUCCAAAGCUUGGAAUUCACUGCCCAAGAUUUUAAGGUCAAUGGGGGCUACGAGAAGAAUAAGAGCCAAAGUGCAAUUUCCCUCAUCCCCAUCAGAAUUAAGCCAGCUCUGAUCUCCCCAGAGAGGCGGCCGAGGUUCGCACGUUUAACAGGCAUUUUACGGCUCCAGUAGUCACUCGCAGUGGGGCAAUCGUCUUCAUCGCAUUUCUUGUUCAGCCAUGUUCCUUCCUUUGCUGAGCCCCCUUUUUUAUCAAAGUAUAUAGGGCUGUGCCAAUCAGGUAGAUCUGUGCUCUAAAACACAACUACAUGUACAUGUAUGGCAAUUACCAAAAUAACUACAUAUAGUACUUAAGAAAAAAAAAUACAUGUAUCAUAGAAUGAGAUGUACAUGUACUUCAAUCUAUUUCUUUACUAACUGGAUGAAUUAAACUUAAAAGUCUGAAAGCAGUUUCAGAGUACAAACAUGUUUUAUAUAGGGGCCUACAUUGAAAUGUUGCAUGAUUAUGACAGGUAUGAGAACUAUUGCAGUGUGUCACAAAUGAUAUAAAACUUACGUGUAGGAAUCUUCUCUCUAUUUGUCUUUUCACACUUUUUUGUUUUCAUAUUUAACUUUUUCAUUCAGUUUAUUUACAUGUAUUUGAAAUUUGUCUAUCAUUAUUUUUGUCAUAUUUUUUUAUUACAUAACAUGAACAUACAUGUACAGGUACAGUAAACUCAAAAGACAGCCAAGAUUUUUGUUAGAAAGCGAUUGGGCCUUUGAGGUUCAGAAAAUGAUUCUGUCAACUUUAUUCCCCAAUUCAUUUCCAUGCAGCUAAUAACAUCAAAGGUCAGGGGUAGCCUAACACUGUCAGUGAGAAAAAGAGGCAAAGUUCAUUAAAAAUCACUAAUGUUUGUGUGAAAUGCUUGAUUUAUGUGUAUUUUUAUUUGUAAUUGAUCAUUGCUAAACUUAAUAUGAUCAUGUGAUUAAGAAAGGGAGAUGGAGAUUUUUUUAUUUUUUUUGAAAUAAAUCUUGCACUAAAAUGAGACAUAUUUGAAUGCAGAAUCUAUCAUAGUAUCUUCAACAAGUAAUGAAAAAAUGACCAGGAUACACAAGAUGAAUUGUAGUGGAGUGUUGCCCGACUUGCCUUCCAUUGUAUUUGUAAAUCUAGGAUAAUAAUACCAUACUUGCAGUAGUAAUUACAAUGUGCAGUGUGUCUUCACUAUAUUCAGCCUUGUUGUAUUUGGCAUUGAAUCUUGUGAUAACUCAAUCAUAAAUGAAUACGUCAGGAAGAUGAAUAUGGCCUACAUGUACAUGUAGUCAUUACAAUCUCCAACUCAUUUUAUACUCGGCAAGAACAAAGUAGAGCAGAAGUGGGAUAUAGCAAGAAGGAUGGGGGGGGGGUGGCAUUUACAUUAAAGUACCCUUUCUCCAGAGUACCCUUCAUUUGAUAGAAAGAGGAAAUUCUAUUAGUGCAUCUGUAAUUAACUGUUACCCGGUGAUUGUAAAAUCAAUGCUGAAGAGUAGGGGUUCAUAUUAGAGUAGGGAUGGUGUGCUAAUUGCAUGCCCCGUAAUUUAGAGAGCAACCUUGUGAUUGUCUGAGAAGGGAAUGUAAGUGCUAAUUAAUUUACUUGAUAAAAGACAACUACUACCACUUUGGGCCGAGAUCACUCCUGAUUGAAUAUUGCUAUUCUUUAAUAGGGAAACACAAUCACAGGUUUCGCAUUUUACAUGUACAUGUACAUUGUUGGUGCAUCUGAUGAUGAGAAAUGGAAACACUAGGCAUUCAGGUUAACACUGCAUUCACGUAUGAAACUUGUGCAUAUUGUUUAUUCUCAUUGUAGUUAAUACAUGUAGAAUGUACCCUGCAAUGUUUUCUUGUUCUCUCAAAUGAAAGAAAAUCAGAUUUCUAAAAUUUAGUGCUGAUAUCCAUUUAGUGUUAUUCUUAAUAAUUAUCUUUAUUACUUCAAACUUAUCUCCAUGGUACAUGUAACAGUGACCUUCUAGUGAUUGUAUAGAUUUGUAAACAUUUAUCUUUAUUUAUUUUUGUUUAGAAUAAACCUUCUCAAGAUCUCACAAAAGAUGAAGCCUAAUGUACAUGUAAUAGUUAAUUUUCAAAUGUGAACGGUGUAUUACAAGGUCUGUUCGUUUCAGGAUAUGAUGGUCAUUAUUAGUCAUUAAAUGGAUCUUGUUGAAACCAUAAUUCAAUUAAAAUGUGGGCUGUAACAUGUCUCCCACAUCAACACUACUUGAAAAAAAAUAUAUAUUGAUGGGCAUCAGGUGGAAAACAAUCUUGAAAAUUGUAUUUAACUCUAUCUCUAUUACUAGGCUGAGUCAUAUUUUUUAAAAUGUUUAAUUGAUUUUAAAAUGGUUUCUUGAAAGUGUAUAUAAGUCGUUACAGCCCUCUCUUGAGUCUCUUCACCGUUGGGGUCUGAAUAUUGUAAGAAUGCAUCAUCAGAACACUAAUUUAACCAUUUUAAGGGUUAACCUGAAGCUUUUGAAGAAAAAAAAAACUUAUUUGUUUAAAUUGCAUUUCCUUAUUACUUUUUUAGGAGGGAGGGGGGGGGGGCAUAGAAUUUCACUCCAUCUUAUCAAGUCGAAUGCACUGUAAAAAAUCAGAUAAAUUCCCCUUUUUUGUUCAGAACUGCGAACUUGGAAAUGAUUUUAAGAGCAUUUAACUCUGACUGGCUGUUACAUGUAUUACGUUGUUUAAUUUACAUGUAUGCAUGAUAUUAAUAGUUACAGUUACAUGUAAGGCCAGGGUGUCUUACACAGAAAGAUGGAAAUAUACUGGUCAAUACAAAUGGAUAAAACCUUGAACAUAAUUUUCUCUGAUUUUUUGUGACUGGUUUGUACUUUGUAAGACUGACAAUGAAUCAACUACAUACAUGUACAUCUAGGGGACGACUCUGGCGGUAAAGUUUUGCCUUAACAUUUUAUUUUAGAAUUGAUGGUGAACAUUUGAGAUAUGGAUUUGUGAAACUUGAAAUGAAUUAAUGUAUUUGUACAUGUGCAUUUUGAUAUUAUAAUGAAAUGUGUCAAUGGAUUAAAUUGAUAUACUAUCAAUGCCAUCGGAAUGGUACAUUGAUACAUUAUUGAAAUAGAGAUUUCAAAAUACAUUGUUACAAAAGUUGAAAGGGGUCAAGAUGCUGUCUCAUUCAAUUUCUGCAUCUGAUGGAGAAAACUGGAAUUUUGAUUUGAAGAAAAUUAAAUUUCCAAAUUGGUAAAUGUCACAUGCCAUUAUGCUUCUUUUUCCAAGUAAACCCAGUUUUCUUUUCUUGAUGUGACCCUGAUAAAGUCUUGAAGUUAUGAUUUGAAUCAAUAGUAUAUGAUGAUUACAAUGAACAAAUGAUCUAAAAAACCAUUUGAGAUUUUGAUCAGUAGCAAUUAAUUAUUGCCAAUGACGGGAAACACAUUUAUCAAAAGCGGCAGGAAAAGGCUGAAGAAAGUUAUGCCUUCAGAGCGCACCCUGCCAGACAAGGAGGAUCUUAUCUUCUUCAUAUCUUUUCUUUUUUACUGACGACAUUCAUCUUCAUUACUGCUUCAAAAAACUCAUUUUCCUCCUUCCAAAUUGUCAUGACACAUUUAAUUUCCUAAUUGCGUCAAUAUCAAUUGUGAUGCAUGGAAGUACAGGGCAGAAACAAAAGAAGUACUUUUUGUUACAAAAAUAGGAAUAUGUCCCUAGAUACCUUGCUCAACAUACAAGUAGACUGUGAUAGAAAUCUCUUAACAUAACACGGAAUGGAUUAGUUUUCUACAAUUGUAAAGAAUUUUUUGAUUGCUUCCGCCCAAUUUAUUUCUAUUUGGGUGGGUUCCGCAAACAGUCGUUUUUUUUUUAUCUGAUAAGAUGUUAUCUUUAAACUUCUCAAUUAUAUUGGCUGCUGCACAUACACAGUGAUUUAAGAUAUAACUCCGUCUAUCAUUACCAUACCUGUGAAAUUUAUUUUGUCAAUAUUGUUAUUUGGUUGAUCACCAUCUCAGAAUCAAAGUUUGCAAAGUGAUGACAUAUUUAACACAUACAGUACCUAUCUAUUUUCUUCUCCCAGAAUUAGAGAAAUCCCAAUAAAUUUUGACUUUCCAGGAAAGGUUCAGGAAAAAAAUACAUUCCAGGAUAUAUUUGAAUCAAGUUUAACACAAGUUUCAGUAUUCAUGUUAAAGAUGAAUACCAGUUGUGCUUACGAUCUCAAAAUGAGUUCAAACAGGAUCUAUUAAAGGACAAGUCCACCCCAAUAAAAUAUUGAUUUUAAUUAA